rnacentral:rRNA from 1 species
GCAUGGCCUUUAUAUCCUGGGCUACACACACGCUACAAUGGCCAACACAAUAGGUUGCUAAGCCGCGAGGUGGCGCCAAUCCAUAAAGUUGGUCUCAGUUCAGAUUGUAGGCUACAACCCGCCUGCAUGAAGAUGGAGUUGCUAGUAACCGCAGGUCAGCUAUACUGCGGUGAAUACGUUCCCGGGGCUU